GACGUAAACAUGCCAUGGGUAUUUUUUUACUAUAAAAAGUGAUCAAACAAUUUAACAUUUAUUACAUGCAAAGGUGAAAACAAUGACUCAAACUCUCAAGAUUGUUUAUGUCGUGAGCCUUUUUAUUACCCUGUUUAUUUUUUUGGAGGAGGAUGAAAAACAAUGUGACACCGACGAUGAUUGUUAUAAAAGAUAUGCAGAUCAUGCAUAUAACUUUUUUAGAUGCAUUGAACGCCGUUGUUAUGGAGAAACGUUUUGAUGAAAGUGGUGAAGAAUAACAACGGUUUGUUUGAUGCAUGGCAAAUCAUGGAAAUAAAAGGGGUUUAAAAGUAUAAUUAAUUAAAUUAUUUAAUAAUAAUUUGGUCACAAUACUUUUAUGUAUUAUUUAUAUUUUGUAACUGAAUUUAAAGUAGGGGAGGGAGGUUUUUCCCCACAUAAUAAUUAAUUAAAUUAUCAUUAAUGUUAAUUAGUUAUACUUUAUGAAUUAAAUUUAAAAAAUAUCAAUUUUAUUUUCAA